AAUUGGUAUCUGAUUGGCAUAGGGAAUGAAGCUGACCUGCACACAGUUCACUUUCAUGGCCAUAGCUUUGAAUACAAGGGCUGAUGGAGCAGAACCUCUGAAGCAGACAAAGGAAAGUCUGCAUGAACAGUUUCUCAGAAUCUUCUCUCAAUAUCAGGACUACAUUUGUCAACAAAACCAAAAACUGAUUAGCCACCAAUAUAGUUUUUACCUACAACAUCCUAUUAAUGUCAAUAAUAUCAUUAUUGAUACAAUUCUAAUAAUCAUUACCCUUAUUCCUAUCAGUGUUCAUGUACAUUCUUAGUAAAAGAGACUUCGGUG
rnacentral:sRNA from 1 species